rnacentral:tRNA from 1 species
GCUCCUAUAGUUCAACGGAUAGAAUAUCAGGCUUCGAACCUGAAGAUAGGGGUUCGAUUCCCUUUGGGAGCA